AUCGCUUCUCAGCCUUUUGGCUAAGAUCAAGUGUAGUAUCUGUUCUUAUCAGUUUAAUAAAACACUAUUUUUUAUUUAGUGUACAUUUAUUACACUAAAAUUAAUCAGU
ensembl:snRNA U2 U2 spliceosomal RNA